rnacentral:rRNA from 1 species
GAUGAACGCUGGCGGCGUGCCUAAUACAUGCAAGUCGAGCGACCGGACGAGAAGCUUGCUUCUCUGAUGUUAGCGGCGGACGGGCGAGUAACACGUGGAUAACCUACCUAUAAGACUGGGAUAACUUCGGGAAACCGGAGCUAAUACCGGAUAAUAUUUUGAACCGCAUGGUUCAAAAGUUAAAGACGGUCUUGCUGUCACUUAUAGAUGGAUCCGCGCUGCAUUAGCUAGUUGGUAAGGUAACGGCUUACCAAGGCAACGAUGCAUAGCCGACCUGAGAGGGUGAUCGGCCACACUGGAACUGAGACACGGUCCAGACUCCUACGGGAGGCAGCAGUAGGGAAUCUUCCGCAAUGGGCGAAAGCCUGACGGAGCAACGCCGCGUGAGUGAUGAAGGUCUUCGGAUCGUAAAACUCUGUUAUUAGGGAAGAACAGAUGUGUAAGUAACUGUGCACAUCUUGACGGUACCUAAUCAGAAAGCCACGGCUAACUACGUG